rnacentral:rRNA from 1 species
AGUGAACGCUGGCGGUAGGCCUAACACAUGCAAGUCGAACGGCAGCACAGUAAGAGCUUGCUCUUACGGGUGGCGAGUGGCGGACGGGUGAGGAAUACAUCGGAAUCUACUUUUUCGUGGGGGAUAACGUAGGGAAACUUACGCUAAUACCGCAUACGACCUACGGGUGAAAGCAGGGGAUCUUCGCACCUUGCGCGAUUGAAUGAGCCGAUGUCGGAUUAGCUAGUUGGCGGGGUAAAGGCCCACCAAGGCGACGAUCCGUAGCUGGUCUGAGAGGAUGAUCAGCCACACUGGAACUGAGACACGGUCCAGACUCCUACGGGAGGCAGCAGUGGGGAAUAUUGGACAAUGGGCGCAAGCCUGAUCCAGCCAUACCGCGUGGGUGAAGAAGGCCUUCGGGUUGUAAAGCCCUUUUGUUGGGAAAGAAAGGCAGCAGGUUAAUACCCCGCUGUUCUGACGGUACCCAAAGAAUAAGCACCGGCUAACUUCGUG